AGGAGGAGAAGGACUGUAUUUAAGGUGGAUUCAGAGGGUCCAGGUUCACUUCUCAGCGGAGCAGCAUCGUCUGGAUUUUCAAACACCUACAAGGAUUCAAAGUUUUUGAAACAAACAGAAGGGAUUAGAAGAUGCCUGGGCAGCCUGGAAAAGCUGCAGAACCUGCAAGAGAUGAAACUCCCAAAUUCAGUGGGAAACAAGCAGAACCUGCAAGAGACAAAACUAAUAAAUUCAGUGGGAAACAAGCAGAACCUGCAAGAGACAAAACUAAUAAAUUCAGUGGGAAACAAGCAGAACCUGCAAGAGAUAAGACUAAUAAAUUCAGUGGGAAACAAGCAGAACCUGCAAGAGAUGCGAAGUAAACAUUGAAGGAGUCGGUGUGUAAAUGAAGAGAGGAAAAAGCCAAUCAGUCAUCGAUUCUACGCUGAUAUAGAUUCUAAACAAUAAUAAAAAACAUAAUUAUGUGACUGGAGUUUUGUGUGUAAAAAUCUGUAUUUGUAUGCAUUUUACAGCUUAAUCUGAGAUUACAUCUAUGUUAAAACUUAAUCUGACAGUUGUCUGGUGUAU